UGGGCAACAAGCGGUAAGGGCUGGCUUUGCAGUGGUGGAGGGCCUGCAGAUCCGCUCUGGACUACACCAAAGGAAGUCUGGGGAUUUUCAUUGACCUUCAGAAGAAAGAGAAGGAGGCGCAUGCCUGGCUGCAAGCAGGGAAGAUCUAUUACAUCCUGCGGCAGAGCGAGCUGGUGGACCUGUACAUCCAGGUGGCAUAGAAUGUGGUCCUGUACACAGGCGACCCCAACCUGGGGCUGGAGCUGGAGCUGUUUGAGGCAGCUGGAGACAUCUUCUUCAAUGGGGCCUGGGAGCGGGAGAAAGCCGUGUCCUUCUACAGGGGGACCGGCUGAACGAACGCGUGGACUACCACCGGCUGGCAGCCCUGCACCACCGGCUGGGCCAUGGCAAGCUGGCGGAGCACUUCUACCUCAAGGCCCUGUAGCUCUGCAACUUGCCCCUGGAGUUUGAUGAGGCGACCCUCUACUACGUGAAGGUGUACCUGGUGCUCGGUGACAUCAUCUUCUACGACCUGAAGGACCCGUUUGAUGCAGCCGGGUACUACCAGCUGGCACUGGCAGCCGCCGUGGACCUGGGCAACAAGAAGGCAUGGCUGAAGAUCUACACGCGGCCGGCCACCGUCUCCCACAACUUCCUCCUGGACCGCAAGAAGUCGCUCCUCUUCUACCAGAAGACCAGGACCUUCGCCCCAGAACUCAACGUCCACAGGGUCAACCUACCUCCUCUGCCACUCUGCGGGUGGGCCCUAUGGUUGACCCCAGCCACCCUCGCUGAGGACAGCAUCCGAGGGAGCGGGUUUUGUGCAAGGAGGAUGGUCUCCUGCCUCUCCUGGUGUCU